rnacentral:rRNA from 1 species
CACGUAGGGUGCGAGCGUUGUCCGGAAUUAUUGGGCGUAAAGAGCUCGUAGGCGGUGUGUCGCGUCGGCCGUGAAAACCUGCAGCUUAACUGUGGGCUUGCGGUCGAUACGGGCAUCACUGGAGUUCGGCAGGGGAGACUGGAAUUCCUGGUGUAGCGGUGAAAUGCGCAGAUAUCAGGAGGAACACCGGUGGGCGAAGGCGGGU